rnacentral:rRNA from 1 species
UGGUGCGAUCAUGCCAGCACUAACGCACCGGAUCCCAUCAGAACUUCGCAAUUGAGCGUGCUUGGGCGAGUGUAGUACUAGGAUGGGUGACCUCCUGGGAAGUCCUUGACUUGCAUCCC